UCAUAGCUAGAGCAGCUUGAUGUGCCAUGCUGGCCCGAUCCCCAUUGGGCCCGUGCCGUGCCGGGUCGGCCCAGCUCGUUGGAUAUCUAUAUGAGCAGAGCAGCCCACCUGCCACGCAUGUACACAAAAGAAACAAAAAAUUAAUAAUAUCACCUCAAGCUACAAUACACAACGUACUUCAUUGCCCAUUCCAUGUACCACCACCAUUUCAACACUAUCGCGAUGUGAGGCUCUCCAAACAUUGUCUCCAAAAAGGAAAUGUCACAACAUAUACACACCAUCAUUGCCGUGAUCCACAAGAGAACGCUAGCUAGACCAUAAUGUUUUUAUCCU
rnacentral:lncRNA from 1 species